CAGAGCAAUCUGUGUGACUGCGUACCUUUUGUAUAAUGGGUCAGCGACUUAUAUUCUGUAGCAAGGUUAACCGAAUAGGGGAGCCGAAGGGAAACCGAGUCUUAACCGGGCGUUAAGUUGCAGGGUAUAGACCCGAAACCCGGUGAUCUAGCCAUGGGCAGGUUGAAGGUUGGGUAACACUAACUGGAGGACCGAACCGACUAAUGUUGAAAAAUUAGCGGAUGACUUGUGGCUGGGGGUGAAAGGCCAAUCAAACCGGGAGAUAGCUGGUUCUCCCCGAAAGCUAUUUAGGUAGCGCCUCGUGAAUUCAUCUCCGGGGGUAGAGCACUGUUUCGGCAAGGGGGUCAUCCCGACUUACCAACCCGAUGCAAACUGCGAAUACCGGAGAAUGUUAUCACGGGAGACACACGGCGGGUGCUAACGUCCGUCGUGAAGAGGGAAACAACCCAGACCGCCAGCUAAGGUCCCAAAGUCAUGGUUAAGUGGGAAACGAUGUGGGAAGGCCCAGACAGCCAGGAUGUUGGCUUAGAAGCAGCCAUCAUUUAAAGAAAGCGUAAUAGCUCACUGGUCGAGUCGGCCUGCGCGGAAGAUGUAACGGGGCUAAACCAUGCACCGAAGCUGCGGCAGCGACACUGUGUGUUGUUGGGUAGGGGAGCGUUCUGUAAGCCUGUGAAGGUGUGCUGUGAGGCAUGCUGGAGGUAUCAGAAGUGCGAAUGCUGACAUAAGUAACGAUAAAGCGGGUGAAAAGCCCGCUCGCCGGAAGACCAAGGGUUCCUGUCCAACGUUAAUCGGGGCAGGGUGAGUCGACCCCUAAGGCGAGGCCGAAAGGCGUAGUCGAUGGGAAACAGGUUAAUAUUCCUGUACUUGGUGUUACUGCGAAGGGGGGACGGAGAAGGCUAUGUUGGCCGGGCGACGGUUGUCCCGGUUUAAGCGUGUAGGCUGGUUUUCCAGGCAAAUCCGGAAAAUCAAGGCUGAGGCGUGAUGACGAGGCACUACGGUGCUGAAGCAACAAAUGCCCUGCUUCCAGGAAAAGCCUCUAAGCAUCAGGUAACAUCAAAUCGUACCCCAAACCGACACAGGUGGUCAGGUAGAGAAUACCAAGGCGCUUGAGAGAACUCGGGUGAAGGAACUAGGCAAAAUGGUGCCGUAACUUCGGGAGAAGGCACGCUGAUAUGUAGGUGAAGUCCCUCGCGGAUGGAGCUGAAAUCAGUCGAAGAUACCAGCUGGCUGCAACUGUUUAUUAAAAACACAGCACUGUGCAAACACGAAAGUGGACGUAUACGGUGUGACGCCUGCCCGGUGCCGGAAGGUUAAUUGAUGGGGUCAGCGCAAGCGAAGCUCUUGAUCGAAGCCCCGGUAAACGGCGGCCGUAACUAUAACGGUCCUAAGGUAGCGAAAUUCCUUGUCGGGUAAGUUCCGACCUGCACGAAUGGCGUAAUGAUGGCCAGGCUGUCUCCACCCGAGACUCAGUGAAAUUGAACUCGCUGUGAAGAUGCAGUGUACCCGCGGCAAGACGGAAAGACCCCGUGAACCUUUACUAUAGCUUGACACUGAACAUUGAGCCUUGAUGUGUAGGAUAGGUGGGAGGCUUUGAAGUGUGGACGCCAGUCUGCAUGGAGCCGACCUUGAAAUACCACCCUUUAAUGUUUGAUGUUCUAACGUGGACCCGUGAUCCGGGUUGCGGACAGUGUCUGGUGGGUAGUUUGACUGGGGCGGUCUCCUCCUAAAGAGUAACGGAGGAGCACGAAGGUUGGCUAAUCCUGGUCGGACAUCAGGAGGUUAGUGCAAUGGCAUAAGCCAGCUUGACUGCGAGCGUGACGGCGCGAGCAGGUGCGAAAGCAGGUCAUAGUGAUCCGGUGGUUCUGAAUGGAAGGGCCAUCGCUCAACGGAUAAAAGGUACUCCGGGGAUAACAGGCUGAUACCGCCCAAGAGUUCAUAUCGACGGCGGUGUUUGGCACCUCGAUGUCGGCUCAUCACAUCCUGGGGCUGAAGUAGGUCCCAAGGGUAUGGCUGUUCGCCAUUUAAAGUGGUACGCGAGCUGGGUUUAGAACGUCGUGAGACAGUUCGGUCCCUAUCUGCCGUGGGCGCUGGAGAACUGAGGGGGGCUGCUCCUAGUACGAGAGGACCGGAGUGGACGCAUCACUGGUGUUCGGGUUGUCAUGCCAAUGGCACUGCCCGGUAGCUAAAUGCGGAAGAGAUAAGUGCUGAAAGCAUCUAAGCACGAAACUUGCCCCGAGAUGAGUUCUCCCUGACCCUUUAAGGGUCCUGAAGGAACGUUGAAGACGACGACGUUGAUAGGCCGGGUGUGUAAGCGCAGCGAUGCGUUGAGCUAACCGGUACUAAUGAACCGUGAGGCUUAACCUUACAACGCCGAAGGUGUUU
rnacentral:rRNA from 1 species